ACUCCCGUACAGACUCCAAACCCUCACCUGAAGACUGUGUUAGACCCCAAACCCUCACCUGAAGACCUCUCUGGAUGGAGCCAUCGUUGAAGUACUGGGAGUGGAGAAGCAGAUAGUCCUGGAGGUGUGUGAUAACAUGCACGGGGAUCAGAGGGAUUCUUUGUCUUGGAUAAAUUUGAAAGCAGUUUUGGAUGAAAUUAUUUGCUGAAAUGUGAUGGUGUCAGAGUCCUGACCCUGUCCUGCAGAAGACAGGAGGAACAAAGCUGCAACCAGGACCAGAACAAGGAAAUGGGGGCUGCUUGCCUUGGGGGUGGGGCCCCUGAAACCUGCUGCCCCUCACCUCGCCCCCACUGCUGACGUCACAGUUCACUCUGUGGCCUUCACUCCCAAUUCCAUUACCAUGGCCACACACUUCAUGACUGGGGCAGCUGCACUGAAUCCUUGAAUCCAUGGAACAUGCUUUUAAAAGGGACCAGGAGAGAAGGGAAAAGAUUUAUCACCCUAUUAG